rnacentral:rRNA from 1 species
AUUGAACGCUGGCGGCAUGCUUUACACAUGCAAGUCGAACGGCAGCGGGGGCUUCGGCCUGCCGGCGAGUGGCGAACGGGUGAGUAAUGCAUCGGAACGUGCCCAGUCAUGGGGGAUAACUACGCGAAAGCGUAGCUAAUACCGCAUACGCCCUGAGGGGGAAAGCGGGGGAUCGCAAGACCUCGCGUGAUUGGAGCGGCCGAUGUCGGAUUAGCUAGUUGGUGGGGUAAAGGCCUACCAAGGCGACGAUCCGUAGCGGGUCUGAGAGGAUGAUCCGCCACACUGGGACUGAGACACGGCCCAGACUCCUACGGGAGGCAGCAGUGGGGAAUUUUGGACAAUGGGGGGCAACCCUGAUCCAGCCAUGCCGCGUGAGUGAAGAAGGCCUU